GUUAAAAUUGCAUUCAUAAAGAUAUAUUUGAGGCAAAUCUUUUCAGUGAGACAUGUACAAAGUCAUCCAUUUGUAAUUCAGGUCAAACAUAAAAAGACAAAUAGUUUUAAUCUUUUUUUUUCAAGCCCAUCUAAUGAAACCAAGUUGACCUAAUGAAAAAAAUAAUAUAAUUGACAAUUUAAUGAACCUUGAAUUUUUGAAUUUUGUGGUAUGAACACUGAUAAGAUGGUUCAAUAUAAAAUAAUAAAUGCACUUUAAUUACUGGACAUGUAAACAUUGUUUAUAAAUCCUCCUCUACUUUAUGGUUUCAAAAAAC